GGAUUGGAAAUGGGCGGAGCCUGAUCCAGCAAAUGCCGCGUGGGUGAAGAAGGUCUUCGGAUUGUAAAGCCCUUUCGGCGGGGACGAUGAUAACGGUACCCGCAGAAGAAGCCCCGGCUAACUUCGUGCCAGCAGCCGCGGUAAUACGAAGGGGGCUAGCGUUGCUCGGAAUGACUGGGCGUAAAGGGCGCGUAGGCGGCGGACAUAGUCAGGCGUGAAAUUCCUGGGCUUAACCUGGGGGCUGCGUUUGAUACGUGUUUGCUUGAGUUUGGAAGAGGGUCGUGGAAUUCCCAGUGUAGAGGUGAAAUUCGUAGAUAUUGGGAAGAACACCGGUGGCGAAGGCGGCGACCUGGUCCGAUACUGACGCUGAGGCGCGAAAGCGUGGGGAGCAAACAGGAUUAGAUACCCUGGUAGUCCACGCUGUAAACGAUGUGUGCUGGAUGUUGGGCGACCUAGUCGCUCAGUGUCGAAGCUAACGCGCUAAGCACACCGCCUGGGGAGUACGGCCGCAAGGUUGAAACUCAAAAGAAUUGACGGA
rnacentral:rRNA from 1 species